GACAAAAUCAAUGCAAGUUUCUCAAUAUGAUGCAUGAGCGCAAGACUCCUUCCACUAUAUUUUAACCGUCUCUGGCGGUGCACUACUCAUAGAACCACGGUUACGCCAGUGACCAACGUUCUUCUUUUCCACAGAAUAAUUUUCCCACACGACCAGACUCAACUAAUCUUCAGAAAUUAUAUAAGUGUCUUGCAAGACUUAUAAUGAGACUGUACGGAGGAAGCAUUCCUAUUUUCAUCCUGGAAAAGGCAGAUCUGAGAGACUCAAUCAAGAUUGUGGCAAAAGAAGUGUUUAAAAUUUGCUGGAGACCAGUCCAACAGAGACAGACACAGGAGUAUUGUGUAUUUCAUGGACAUGAUGUCUUAUGAUGAAGAUGGUGUUGUCUAUGGGAGGCCAGUGUUGGUUAUAAAACCAGCAGCUUUGAUAAGCUCUGUUUCAGGAGCUAAAGAAGGGACUUGAUGCAGACCCACACUAUACUGGGAACUAAUCACUUUCAUGUGAUGACCAGUGACACAGUCAGAUGCCAGUUCAUUUACUGAACUAUAAUUCAGUAAAAGUUCACAAUGUGUUUCAGAUGUUUGUAUAUAUCAUUAUUGCUAAAUUUAGUAUAUUUCAGGUUUUCUUUUUAGAAAAAAAUCUUUAAACCCAAUUAUUGUCCCAGUAUUUAUGUUGUCAACAUUGAUUAAAGGCCUUUAAUAAGAGGCAUAAGCUAAAUGCUGUUUGGGAUUGGGUGGGCUAAAUUUUAAGUUUAACCAAUAAAAUUAAAGCCAAUUCAUGCAGUGGCUCAAUAGCUGUCAAGAUUUAGGGAUGUGCUAAAUAAAUUGUAACCAAUAAAAUCAAAGCCAGUGUACUGUAUGCAGUGACCCAAUUGUUGUCAAGAUUUAAGGGUAGGUUAAGUUUAAGGGCAGCCAAUCCAGUUUGAGAUAAAUGACCAAAAGGGGUGACAAUUUUAUCCAAAAGGUGAGAAAUGCAAAUGUGAUUCAGGUGUGAAAAAGUCUCCUGACAGACAACUUAAGGGAAUUACUUACCAUGGCAACAAAUGGCCAUAACACAGAUGGAAUCGUCAGUCACUCUACAUCUGAAAUUGUAUAUAAUAUGAUGUUUUCAGGCUUGUGGAAUUUGAGACUCUGGGCCAGAAAAUUUCUGAAAACAUCUGAAAUUCAGCGGUUUAUACUGGAGUCUACUGGUCCGGAUACAGCUCUUUUAAUGCAGUGGAACUGAAUUGAAAUGAACAGAAUUAAAUG